UUAGGAAUCUUCCACAAUGGGCGAAAGCCUGAUGGAGCGACGCCGCGUGAGGGAUGAAGGCCUUAGGGUUGUAAACCUCUAAAAGAGGGACGAUAAUGACGGUACCUCUUGAAUAGCACCGGCUAACUCCGUGCCAGCAGCCGCGGUAAUACGGAGGGUGCAAGCGUUAUCCGGAAUCACUGGGCGUAAAGGGCGCGUAGGCGGUCUGUUAAGUCCGAUGUUAAAUCCCGGGGCUCAACCCCGGAUAAGCGUUGGAUACUGGCAGGCUAGAGGGUUGGAGAGGCGAGUGGAAUUACCAGUGUAGCGGUGGAAUGCGUAGAUACUGGUAGGAACACCCAUUGCGAAGGCAGCUCGCUGGACAACACGUGACGCUGAGGCGCGAAAGUGUGGGGAGCAAACC
rnacentral:rRNA from 1 species